rnacentral:rRNA from 1 species
CGGACGUGGGUAGCCUGCCUUAUACAGGGGGAUAACAGUCAGAAAUGGCUGCUAAUACCGCAUAAGCGCACAGAGCUGCAUGGCUCAGUGUGAAAAACUCCGGUGGUAUAAGAUGGACCCGCGUUGGAUUAGCUGGUUGGUGGGGUAACGGCCCACCAAGGCGACGAUCCAUAGCCGGCCUGAGAGGGUGAACGGCCACAUUGGGACUGAGACACGGCCCAG